UUUACGUGAAAUUCGUUUAAUUUCUAGUGUAGAAUACCAAAUAUUCCGCCGAAAAAGUCCGGAACCGCGAAAAAAUCUCGAACUCGAUCGAUCAAGACUUGAUCACUUAGUGAAAACUUAGAACCUACUGUGAUUCCGAAAACGGGUUCGGCUACAUGAGCGAAACAGUAAACCGAAUCAGGAUUUCACUGCCACAACGGGACCAGAUACGCUCCUUCCUCCGUUUAUCCCUUCGUCUUUCCCGACCUUUCGAAAAAACUGGUGAGCUUGGUAGAUAAGACGGUCAUACGCCACAUGUUUCGGUUUGCUACUGCUUCCUCGGGACAUCGCCGCCUCCUUGUCACCUGUGCUCCACAUCGUACCAUCCCUGCGAACACAAUCUAUGCAGGAUUACCAUCCGGCAUAUGUGCAGUAUGCCCUGCCCAUCGUAUCCGUCCGGCUUUGGUCAGUUUCCAGACCACAGCUUACCGUAGAGUACAGAGAGCUCAUGGUUGUCUUCACUGCCACACACCGUUCUCCUCGAGUAUGGUCCGUAUAGUGAGCACCGGGUUUUUAAGCAUUUUACAUGGUACAUCAGGUGCGGGCAUGAAUCGAGAAAUUCCAUAUCACCACUAUUAACCAUGGCUAGCCAGCUCUAAUUUGAUUAUUUAUAUUUUAUUUUAUGUUCUGUAUUUAUAUGUGAAUAAAUAGUUUUGCUUGGGGGGGUUAGGAGGGGGCUCGUUUCUAUGGGUAUUUAUCCGAAAUUCACUGGAGGGAAAGGGGGGUCUGUUUAAGAAAAUAGGUCACUUCUCCAAUGAGUUAGUUUUGUAAUUCACAAGGUCAAGACAUUCUUCAAAGUAAUUAUGGUUUGUCGUCAAGAUACCUUUACUUCAUCCUGUCCUGCCACCACGCUUCAACCAACAGAAAUAAUUAACUUCUGGAGGUCACUGGUCAUAAUCCAUAAGGGGGAUGCAUAAACAGUUUCUGCAUACAGGUAAGUAAAUACAUAUGUUUAAAAAAAUAUUGAUUCUGUCUUAUUAGUCAACUGUCUUAUGUUAUAACAGUUCUCGGGACAAUCUUAUUCUCCGCCUACUUGUUCACCCUGUCCUCUGAAGUUGUUUGGUGACGCACAAUACGUCUUCUUAAGAAAUAGAUCAAUUUUCUUUGUAGUUGUUCGUCCUUUUCAUCAGAACAUGUCGUACAGUUGUUUGAAGACGCACAAUACGUCUUCUUAAGAAAUAGAUCAAUUCUCCUUGUGGUUGUUUUUCUUUGUCAUCAGAACAUGUCUUGAAGAAGGUUCACCAAGUCCUCCGAAGAUGUUUGGUGACGCACAGCACGUCUUAAGAAAUAGAUCAAUUCUCUUUGUGGUUGUUUUUGCUUGCCAUCGGAACAUAUCGUGAAGAAGGUUCACCAAGUCCUCCGAAGAUGUUUGGUGACGCACAGCACGUCUUAAGAAAUAAAUCAAUUCUCUUUGUGGUUGUUUUUCCUUGUCAUCAGAACAUGUCGUGAAGAAGGUUCACCAAGUCCUCCGAAGAUGUUUGGUGACGCACAGCACGUCUUCUUAAGAAAUAGACCAAUUCUCUUUGUAGUUCUUCGUUCUUCCCUUUAAUCAGAACAUGUCGUGAAGAAGGUUCAUCAAGUCGUCCGAAGAUGUUUGGUGACGCACAACACGUCUUAAAAAAUAGAUCAAUUCUCUUUGUGGUUGUUUUUCCUUGUCAUCAGAACAUGUCGUAAAGAAGGUUCACCAAGUCCUCCGAAGAUGUUUGGUGACGCACAACACGUCUUCUUAAGAAAUAGACCAGUUCUCUUUGUAGUUCUUCGUUCUUCCCUUUAAUCAGAACAUGUCGUGAAGUAGGUUCACCAAGUCCUCCGAAGAUGUUUGGUGACACACAACACGUCUUCUUAAGAAAUAGACCAAUUCUCUUUGUAGUUCUUCGUUCUUCCCUUUAAUCAGAACAUGUCGUGAAGAAGGUUCACCAAGUCCUCCGAAGAUGUUUGGUGACGCACAACACGUCUUCUUAAGAAAUAGACCAAUUCUCUUUGUAGUUGUACUUGUAAUCAGAACACGUCGUAAAGAAGGUUCACCAAGUCCUCCGAAGAUGUUUGGUGACACACAACACGUCUUCUUAAGAAAUAGACCAAUUCUCUUUGUAGUUGUACUUGUAAUCAGAACACGUCGUAAAGAAGGUUCACCAAGUUCUCCGAAGAUGUUUGGUGACACACAACACGUCUUCUUAAGAAAUAGACCAAUUCUCUUUGUAGUUGUACUUGUAAUCAGAACACGUCGUGAAGAAGGUUCACCAAGUCCUCCGAAGAUGUUUGGUGACACACAACACGUCUUCUUAAGAAAUAGACCAAUUCUCUUUGUAGUUGUACUUGUAAUCAGAACACGUCGUAAAGAAGGUUCACCAAGUCCUCCGAAGAUGUUUGGUGACACACAACACGUCUUCUUAAGAAAUAGACCAAUUCUCUUUGUAGUUGUUCUUGUAAUCAGAAUACGUCGUAAAGAAGGUUCACCAAGUCCUCCGAAGAUGUUUGGUGACGCACAGCACGUCUUAAGAAAUAGAUCAAUUCUCUUUGUGGUUGUUUUUCCUUGUCAUCAGAACAUGUCGUGAAGAAGGUUCACCAAGUUCUCCGAAGAUGUUUGGUGACACACAACACGUCUUCUUAAAAAAAGAUCAAUUAUCUUUGUAGUUCUUGUAAUCAGAACACGUCGUAAAGAAGGUUCACCAAGUCCUCCGAAGAUGUUUGGUGACACACAACACGUCUUCUUAAGAAAUAGAUCAAUUCUCUUUGUAGUUGCACUUCUUUGAAAUCAGAACAAGUCGUUAAGAAGGUUCACCAAGUUCUCCGAAGAUGUUUGGUGACGCACAACACGUCUUCUUAAGAAAUAGAUCAAUUCUCGUUGUGGUUGUCUUUCCUUGUCAUCAAAACAUGUCGUAAGGAAGGUUCACCAAGUCCUCCGAAGAUGUUUGGUGACACACAACACGUCUUCUUAAGAAAUAGACCAAUUCUCUUUGUAGUUCUUCGUUCUUCCCUUUAAUCAGAACAUGUCGUGAAGAAGGUUCACCAAGUUCUCCGAAGAUGUUUGGUGACACACAACACGUCUUCUUAAGAAAUAGAUCAAUUCUCUUUGUAGCUGUCUUUCCUUGUCAUCAGAAGAUGUCGUGAAGAAGGUUCACCAAGUCCUCCGAAGAUGUUUGGUGACGCACAACACGUCUUAAGAAAUAGACAAAUUCUCUUUGUAGUUCUUCGUUCUUCCCUUUAAUCAGAACAUGUGAAGAAGGUUCACCAAGUCCUCCGAAGAUGUUUGGUGACACACAACACGUCUUCUUAAGAAAUAGACCAAUUCUCUUUGUAGUUCUUCGUUCUUCCCUUUAAUCAGAACAUGUCGUAAAGAAGGUUCACCAAGUCCUCCGAAGAUGUUUGGUGACACACAACACGUCUUAAGAAAUAGACCAAUUCUCUUUGUAGUUCUUCGUUCUUCCCUUUAAUCAGAACAUGUCGUAAAGAAGGUUCACCAAGUCCUCCGAAGAUGUUUGGUGACACACAACACGUCUUUUUAAGAAAUAGACCAAUUCUCUUUGUAGUUGUACUUGUAAUCAGAACACGUCGUUAAGAAGGUUCACCAAGUCCUCCGAAGAUGUUUGGUGACACACAACACGUCUUCUUAAGAAAUAGACCAAUUCUCUUUGUAGUUGUACUUGUAAUCAGAACAUGUCGUGAAGAAGGUUCACCAAGUCCUCCGAAGAUGUUUGGUGACACACAACACGUCUUCUUAAGAAAUAGACCAAUUCUCUUUGUAGUUGUACUUGUAAUCAGAACACGUCGUUAAGAAGGUUCACCAAGUCCUCCGAAGAUGUUUGGUGACACACAACACGUCUUCUUAAGAAAUAGACCAAUUCUCUUUGUAGUUGUACUUGUAAUCAGAACACGUCGUUAAGAAGGUUCACCAAGUCCUCCGAAGAUGUUUGGUGACACACAACACGUCUUCUUAAGAAAUAGACCAAUUCUCUUUGUAGUUGUACUUGUAAUCAGAACAUGUCGUGAAAAAGGUUCACCAAGUCCUCCGAAGAUGUUUGGUGACACACAACACGUCUUCUUAAGAAAUAGACCAAUUCUCUUUGUAGUUGUACUUGUAAUCAGAACACGUCGUAAAGAAGGUUCACCAAGUCCUCCGAAGAUGUUUGGUGACGCACAAUACGCCUUCUUAAGAAAUAGAUCAAUUCUCUUUGUGGCUGUCUUUCCUUGUCAUCAGAAGAUGUCGUGAAGAAGGUUCACCAAGUCCUCCGAAGAUGUUUGGUGAAACAAUGCAUCUUAUUCAUAUAUAGAUAUAUAGAGGCUUAUUAUAUUAUAUUAUACUUAACCCUCAUGUGGGGUACCCAGCGCCCAUUUGGAAAGCACGGUGUAGAAAAAAGCAAAAAAAAUUGUCGGACACAACGGUUAAAAAUAGAUCAAUUCUCUCGGGAGUAGCCCAUGAGAUAUUUUGCCCCCAUUUGGAUAACAGCCUCAUAUGAAUAGGAAACAAAGCAAAGAUGGGACUGUUAUGCGAAUGAAGGCAGUAUUCUUCCUAGUAAUAAAAGCUUGCCAAGAAGGUUCACCAAAGUCCUGUGAAGUUUGUUAGCAAUUCACAUAGGCCCUUAUUAUGAGUGUCACUUCACGGUGAAAAUCGAUCACGGUGACACAUU